rnacentral:miRNA from 14 species
GCCAUUGGUAUCUGGCAUUGUGGUUCCUGCAUGAAAACAGUGGCCGGCGGGGCCUGGGCCUACAAUCCCACUUCUGCAGUCACAGUGAAGUCUGCC